UCAGAGAUUUGCUAUGUGAAAGGGGUCACUAGUACAAAAGUUUGAGAAUCGCUGAUCUAAGGUAAUACAAAUAAACUUUGUAACUAGAACAUACUGGAUUUUUGACUCUUCGCUUAGUUUAAACACAAUUACCUUUUUAAAACACUACUUGUAGCUGGACUGUUUCCUUUAGAGAGUGCUCAUCCUUUAAGCUAAAGUAGUGUUAGUGAAACAUUCCUCAAAUAUAGUCUAGGGAGUUGGGAAGGGGACACUUCACUUGUUCUCAGUUACAGAAUCUGAAUUCUCUGUUCAUGUGAUGUAAUCUAACUUUAAAGGAGAGAAUCUCGUGUUGACCCAGCUUCUGUUGGAGAAAGACAGGCGGUUGUAAAGAGCUUUUAAGCUUGAAAAUUUGUCUCCUUACAGAAGCUGGUCCAAAUAGGGAUGUCACCUCACCAGCCUCUUUAACACCCACAACUGCAACACUGCAUAUAACUUUAAAUGACUGAUUCUUCCUGCAAUGACCCUUUAGUUAGAGCAAGUAAGAUUUAAAAUGUGCUGAUUGUACAGCAGUCUCUUCAUACCUAGCUGCUGCCCUUCAUUUUUUACAGACUUGUUUACAAUUCACUGAUUUCUUUAAAUACUUAAAAGAGGAAAUCUUCCUAUGUGUUGUAGAUGUGUAUCUCAAUCUUUGAUGUGGGUAGCUCAUUGAAUGAUUAGUACAUUGCUCAAUCAUCCAAAACACCAGGUGAUUAACAAGGUUUGGUAGAUAGGUGUAAAAGUUUGAGCUCCAAUGGAACUUUCAAGCAAGUAAUUCUACAGCAAACAAAAUUGAAAGGGUUUUUGUAUCACCGCCCUCUUUGGCCUUAAACUGCAGGGUCUCUGGGAAAAAAUAGAUGCUGAGGAUCUCCUGUAUACAGUAGGAUUUGCAGAGGUAGCAGGGGCAGGGUAGCAUUUCAGUCAGAGUUGUGUAUAUUGCAGACAAAUACUAAUUUCAAACAACUGGUUAACAAAUUUUGAAAGCUGUAAAGGAAAUGCCCGCAAGAUGUGAGGCCUGUGAAGUAGCAUGCUUGGGUGUAAUGAAAAUGGCAUAGGAAGAAGCCACAUCUCUUCACCUGUUAAGGAGACUGUUUUCUAGUGAGAUGUGCACAGCACUUGGAAUCCAGGGGGCUGAGCUGUGACAUUUAGCCACUCUUUGUAGGGCCACCUGUCCUAGCUCUGACUGAGAUGGAUACAACUGCCUAGGUAGAAAAUGGGUAACAUUCACUUCCAGUCAGUGGACAACUUAGAGGAGACUCCGUCCAACUUACCCAUGUUCUUUAUCGUUGGAGGUGGAUCUGUAGGAGUGAUUUGAAUGACAACCACUUAGACCAGGAUUUGAAGGAAAUCCAUAUUCGAAAGAAACUACUGAGGCCAUCUGGGAGUUGUGCUGGCAAUGAAUAGAACAAUGGAUCCACUCAACUCAGCUUAGACCACUGAACACUGCACCACUGACAUUCUCGGACUACUACUGUGAUUGUCAGGUAGAAUGCAGCGAUCUUCUCCAAGCAACCUACACGUGAGUCCUUUGCUUUGAAGUGAGAUGUUCUCAGACUUUCAGCACUGACCACCACCGUCUGCAUUUGGGAGACCACCUGGUAACAGGAGACAGAGCCUCUCACCUUUUGAGCCGCCGGUGCAACUCCAGCGCAGGCUGGCAGUUAUUGCUGUUGGGUAUCUGUGGACUUGCUGAAGCUGGCGCUUGCCAUCCAGUUCCUAAUGAACAGGCAUCCACGUCACUAUAGCUACCAAGAUCUUCAUGGAGAUGUUUUAGCACAAGAGUGAUCAUGCAAAAUGUACAAAGUAGCAGUAUGGAACACUUUAGAAGCAGAGACAAUUGUUCCGGUAUGAUGCAGUGCUUAAAGUGGGAAAAGGAAACGAUGGGCCCAGUUCCGUGAAGUCCUAGACACCUUCAACUCCAGUUGACUUUGUCGGGAGUUCAGAGAUUUGCAAGACCUGGCCUGACUCGGACAGUUAACAGGAAGGACUGAGAGGAAGUGAGAGCACUGCUGGUGUUUGAGGCUGCACAGUGUGAAACAGAAUGGUGAUUUUGACAAAAUCCAGGGCUUUGCCUAUCUCAGUCUUCAGCUGGAAAACAAAAUGCCAGCAACCCUCCAGCCCCAACUCCUCCUACUGCAGGGAGAGGGUCUAACUAAUCAAAAUAGGUCAUGAAGCCUCGUGAGAUAUUUAAUCUGGAUAUGGAUCGCCAGGUAGAAGAACCUGCUGCCAUUUCAAACAGAGUCCCUCAAGUCAGAUUGUCACGUGAAGCUCCUUAGCUCCCUCCACCCGUACACCCUCCACCCAAACCCAGAGACACACGAGCAACGCAGCCUGGGUAUUUCCACUCUGAGUGUACUGAGGAAGCAGCUAUAAAAAUAAGACACAGAAGUCAGCCUUGCAGGAGCAGCUUCAGCCUAAACAGGGUUUUCAUAGGCGAGUUUCUCACAAGUGCUUUUCCCUGUGGAAUGGAACAGAAACCAAUAGGGAUUUUUUUGAGUUCUACAGGCACUAAGGGCCAGAUUUUUAAAGUAAUUCAGGCACCUAACUCCCUUAGGCAUUGCCUACUAGAUGGGUCAAACUGUAUCUAGUAUGUUGCAAAGAAGCAGGAGUUAGAGGUAGAUUUGUCAAGGUAUUUAGGCAGAUUUUCAUUUACCUCCCUUUAUAUUUACUAUAAAAGAGUAAAAAAAGUAUCAGUGACAGGCCUCUAUAAUUUGUGCAAGUGUUUCAAGAAUGCUUGACAUUGAAGGGUAAGGGGUGUGCAAGGAGCGGG